rnacentral:rRNA from 1 species
UCAGGAUGAACGCUAGCGGCAGGCUUAACACAUGCAAGUCGAGGGGCAUCGGGAGUAGCAAUACUUGCCGGCGACCGGCGCAAGGGUGCGUAACGCGUGAGCAACAUGCCCGUAUCAGGGGGAUAAUCCAUGGAAACGUGGUCUAAUACCCCAUAGUAAUUAUGUAAGGCAUCUUAUAUAAUUUAAAGCUUUGGUGGAUACGGAUUGGCUCGCGUGACAUUAGCUGGAUGGUAAGGUAACGGCUUACCAUGGCUACGAUGUCUAGGGGUUCUGAGAGGAAGGUCCCCCACACUGGAACUGAGACACGGUCCAGACUCCUACGGGAGGCAGCAGUGAGGAAUAUUGGACAAUGGAUGGAAAUCUGAUCCAGCCAUGCCGCGUGCAGGAAGACGGCCCUAUGGGUUGUAAACUGCUUUUGUAUGGGAGCAAUAAGGGCUACGUGUAGUCCGAUGAGAGUACCAUACGAAUAAGCACCGGCUAACUCCGUGCCAGCCGCCGC